GGCUCUCUUUCUGUGUUUCAGGAUCUCUUUUCAUCUUCUUCCUCCCUUUAACUGGACUGUGAUCUGUGUUUGGGAUAAACGGGAGACAAUUUGCUCGGCUAAGCAGCAACACAAUGCCAUAAAUGUGAUGUGACGUGUUGGACGUAAAUAGCAUUUGAAGAACCUGACACAUCGGUAACAUCUGCUCAGGGAGAAGUAUCUCGGAGGAAACAUGAUGGAUGUCCAAGUUGUCUUGAUCCAUUACUGACUCCAGAAAGUUUUGUAUCUGGUUUGUUGGUUGGAAAUAAAACAGAGCAU